rnacentral:lncRNA from 1 species
CUUGAGCCAGCCUUUCCGAGUUGCUAACUACAGACUUAAAGUUGUUGGCAGCAGAACUGUGUCUCUUCAGAGUUUGGUUACCCACAAUGACCCCAUAACAACUGCCAUGCCAAUGGCAGGCUCUGUGGAGGUGGGGAUGUCAACAAGCAAGGAGGUGCAGGCAAGGAUGACCUCACUGGGGGUUCCAGCAAUGCUUUCCUUUUGGUUGAAGAGCUGAGACAACAGAGCAUUGGAGAAGACGGGGAGUCUCAGAGUGGGUCUCCGCAGAGACCUCUGACGUCUGAAGUCCUUCUGAAGAAGUGUCUGAGGAUGCUGUGCGGUCCUGAGGCUGACUCAAAGGACAGCCAGGGCAUCUGGACCAUUGUAGGAUGUUAGAGAGCUGUGCUGCUGCUUCUCCCUCUGCCACAUCACACCCACGUAUGUGAACACAAGCCAAAGGGAAGCCGCUGCAUGAUGAGUAAUCAGGAAGGAGGCACGUAAAGUCUGGAGUGGGGAGGCCAACUCCUGUGUUGACAGUCAA